AAUCCCGAUGAUGAAGUUAGCUGAAUAAUUUAAAAGUAGUGGCCUGAUGACCAUUGAUGAAAAGCUUUACUCUGAGGGAUU
rfam:Solanum tuberosum cultivar DM 1-3 516 R44 scf00149_8, whole genome shotgun sequence.